rnacentral:rRNA from 1 species
GACGAACGCUGGCGGCGUGCUUAACACAUGCAAGUCGAACGGAAAGGCCCUGCUUUUGUGGGGUGCUCGAGUGGCGAACGGGUGAGUAACACGUGAGUAACCUGCCCUUGACUUUGGGAUAACUUCAGGAAACUGGUGCUAAUACCGGAUAGGAGCUCCUGCUGCAUGGUGGGGGUUGGAAAGUUUCGGCGGUUGGGGAUGGACUCGCGGCUUAUCAGCUUGUUGGUGGGGUAGUGGCUUACCAAGGCUUUGACGGGUAGCCGGCCUGAGAGGGUGACCGGCCACAUUGGGACUGAGGUACGGCCCAGACUCCUACGGUAGACAGCAGGGGAGAAUAUUGCACAAUGGGCGGAAGCCUGAUGCAGAAACGCCGCGUGCGGGAUGACGGCCUUCGGGUUGUAAACCGCUUUCGCCUGUGACGAAGCGGGAGUGACGGUAAUGGGUAAAGAAGCACCGGCUAACUACGUG